rnacentral:rRNA from 1 species
AACGUAGGAGACAAACGUUAUCCGGAGUUACUGGGCGUAAAGGGCGUGUAGGUGGUAAUGUAAGUCUGGCGUGAAAUUUUUCGGCUUAACCGGGAAAGGUCGUCGGAUACUGCAUCACUAGAGGACGGUAGAGGCGUGUGGAAGUUCCGGGUGUAGCGGUGGAAUGCGUAGAGAGUCCGGAAGAACGACCGGUGGCGAAGGCGGCCUGCUGGGCUA